rnacentral:rRNA from 1 species
CAGCAGCCGCGGGAAUACGUAGGUGGCAAGCGCUAUCCGGAAUUAUUGGGCGUAAAGCGCGCGCAGGUGGUUUAAUAAGUCUGAUGUGAAAGCCCACGGCUCAACCGUGGAGGGUCAUUGGAAACUGUUAAACUUGAGUGCAGGAGAGAAAAGUGGAAUUCCUAGUGUAGCGGUGAAAUGCGUAGAGAUUAGGAGGAACACCAGUGGCGAAGGCGGCUUUUUGGCCUGUAACUGACACUGAGGAGCGAAAGCGUGGGGAGCGAACAGGAUUAGAUACCCCAGUAGUCCCUGUCUCUUAUAC